rfam:Punica granatum cultivar Dabenzi scaffold4, whole genome shotgun sequence.
UGGAGAAGGGGAGCACGUGCAAAAAUUCAACUUAUAUAUACUGUGCAUAAGCUCGAACAUAUAUAUAUGUUUUUGCACGUGCCCUGCUUCUCCAAC